UAGGGAAUCUUCGGCAAUGGGGGGAACCCUGACCGAGCAACGCCGCGUGAGUGAAGAAGGUUUUCGGAUCGUAAAGCUCUGUUGUUAAGGAAGAACGAGUAUGAGAAUGGAAAGUUCAUGCUGUGACGGUACUUAACCAGAAAGGGACGGCUAACUACGUGCCAGCAGCCGCGGUAAUACGUAGGUCCCGAGCGUUGUCCGGAUUUAUUGGGCGUAAAGCGAGCGCAGGCGGUUAGAAAAGUCUGAAGUGAAAGGCAGUGGCUCAACCAUUGUAGGCUUUGGAAACUGUUUAACUUGAGUGCAGAAGGGGAGAGUGGAAUUCCAUGUGUAGCGGUGAAAUGCGUAGAUAUAUGGAGGAACACCGGUGGCGAAAGCGGCUCUCUGGUCUGUAACUGACGCUGAGGCUCGAAAGCGUGGGGAGCGAACAGG
rnacentral:rRNA from 1 species